GCAACUGGGCCGACCUGGAGCUGCUCUUCAACGCCUGCUUCAGCAACCUUGCCCACGUGGUUGACCAGAUCGCGUGGCAGAGGGCCCUGGCGUGACUUCAUGAGCUACAGCAUGGGCAACAGCAGCCGGGCAUGCAAGCGGGAUGAGGACCUGGCGUGGAGAUUGGCCCAGCAUGGGAGGGAGGAUGUGGAGAGACAAGCCCGGCACACCUACUGCUCGUCUGCCACGUCACCGGCUUCUACCCACAGCCCAUCCACGUCAACUGGCUCCAGGAUGGGCAGGAGGUGCCGCCAGGCCCGGAGCUCAACUCCACGCCGACGCUGCCCAAUGCCGACCUCACCUACCAGCUCCGCAGCGUCCUGGCCGUGGCCCCCCAUGAUGGGCACAGCUACGCCUGCCACAUGCGGCACAGCAGCCUGGGCGGCCGCAGCCUGCUGGUGCCCUGGGUUCCAGAGAGACCCAAAACCUGACACGUCAUGUGGAUCAUCGUC
rnacentral:lncRNA from 1 species